rnacentral:rRNA from 1 species
UACGUAGGGCGCAAGCGUUGUCCGGAAUUAUUGGGCGUAAAGAGCUCGUAGGCGGUGUGUCGCGUCGGCCGUGAAAACCUGGGGCUCAACUCUGGGCGUGCGGUCGAUACGGGCAUCACUUGAGUUCGGCAGGGGAGACUGGAAUUCCUGGUGUAGCGGUGAAAUGCGCAGAUAUCAGGAGGAACACCGGUGGCGAAGGCGGGUCUCUGGGCCGAUACUGACGCUGAGGAGCGAAAGCAUGGGUAGCGAACAGG